rfam:Vogesella sp. LIG4 genome assembly, chromosome: I
GUCCCCAUCGUCUAGAGGCCUAGGACACCGCCCUUUCACGGCGAUAACCGGGGUUCGACUCCCCGUGGGGACG